rnacentral:lncRNA from 1 species
GAAGGUGGAACCUUAUGGAAGGUGAUUAGGUCACAGGAAUAGAGCCCUCCUGAAGGGCUUCUGUCCUCUUUCAGGGGACCAAAAUGCAGCUGCCUUGUUCCUUCCAUGUGAGACAAAGCAAGAAGUGAAUCACAGGCUUUUUGGACAGGGAGAGGGAGAGGGCAAGAUGUAGCUAUUAGUGUCUUCCAUUUAUAUGGCAAGCAAGCUGAGGAACCCAUGAAGAGCAAGUCGGAAAGUAUCUUUUGAUACAGAAGCCAGAAAUUCUUCCACGGUUGCUGCCUCUGUUCCUGCUUGAGUUCCUGCCCCGAUUUCCCUCAGGAAGGGCUCUGUAAUCACGAUGUGUAAAGCAAGCAACCCCAUUUCUCUCCAGUUUAAACCACCACCACCACAACAAAAUGAGCCACAAAACAGGUUCAGCUCCGUAGGCCCUGUUACAACAAAGGCUGCUCCCACAACAGAAAGUACAAGUAGGUGGUCAACUUCAGUGGCAGCUAGCUGUACAGUACCAUCUCAGCGGGCACACAAGAUAAACAAGUCUUCAGGGCAUGGCUACCUUCACCUGAAUGCCAAAGAAUGGCCAAGGGUGUCUCAGGACCCAGAAAGGAAACAGUGAAGGUGUAGACUUAGAGUCACACAGCCCACUCAGAUCAUGUCCAGUGGAGCCAUGGGCUCCAUGAGACCUCAGGACAGAAGGGCCAUUAGCAUAUCAUCCCACUGUGAAAGCUACAGGCAUACAAUAUCAACAGAGCCACAAAAAUCAACCCUGGGCGCAAGCCCACCAACCAAGAAGCUCUAGAAGGUGUGACCUCUACUCUGGUGAUCCCAAGAGGCAGAGCCUUGAGACAAAGAUUGUUUUCCAGGUGAAAGACUUUGGACCUUCUGAGAAUGCUUGACUCCUGCCUUCUUGUCUGCUUCUCCCUUUGGACUGGGAAUGCCCAGCUCUUGACUGUCCUGUAAGUGUAGUCAGGACACCUAUAAAAUGUCUGGUUCCAUGGGUUCACAGCUGGAAAGCAAUGCACCCCAGGAUAAACAGCACCUCGUACUGUCAUCCAUGGCUGAUUAAGUGAUACUGAGAAAAGACCUCGGAUGGCUGGAAUGUGGGUCUGGAGUGCCUGUCACUGGACUGUUGCAAUCCUAACCUCAAGUGGACGAUAGGAGGAAUAAUGGGUCUCUUCUGGGAAGUGACGGAGAGUAGAAACAUCAUCCAUGAGAUCAGUAGAUGAUCAAAGGCCUGGAGUUGCUUGGUCACUUCCACUGUGUGCAGACACAGUGCAAAAGGAACUGUUUGUACACCAUGAAUUAACUUCUCACCAGCCAUGGAAUCUGACAGCACUGUGAUUUGACAUCCCAGCUGACAAAUCGAUCAGAAAUAAAUUCCCAUUUCUAAGCCA